rnacentral:rRNA from 1 species
AUUGCCAGCAGUUAGCUCUCGGCAACUCUCACAUGGUCACCAACUGAAGCUAAGCAGGGGCUGUGCCUGGUGAGUACAUGGAUGGGAGACCACAUGGGAAAGCUAGGUUGCUGCCAGAA